rnacentral:rRNA from 1 species
UACGGGGGGGGUAAGCGUUGUUCGGAAUUACUGGGCGUAAAGGGCUCGUAGGCGGCCAACUAAGUCAGACGUGAAAUCCCUCAGCUUAACUGGGGAACUGCGUCUGAUACUGGAUGGCUUGGAUUUGGGAGAGGAAUGCGGAAUUCCAGGUGUAGCGGUGAAAUGCGUAGAUAUCUGGAGGAACACCGGUGGCGAAGGCGGGUCUCUGGGCCGAUACUGACGCUGAGGAGCGAAAGCGUGGGGAGCGAACAGG